UGUUCCUGCUAGCCUAACGUCGCAGAGACGGUUUUGUCUAUGGUUUUCUCCCCUUACCCCCCCUCCCCGCCGCCCCAUUUCUUUUCCUUCACCGAGACUGGAAAUGGCCGCCGAGCGGUGAGAGCAGAACGGGAGGUGUUCCCCAGAGGGUGAGCCGCAGCCAGGCAAGGAUUCGAGUGGUCGCAUGAAGGCCAAGACACUGAGGCAAUCGGGCCUUGCUCGUCAGUUUUCACCUUUGGAUUCGGCGGCCGUUACUCUCGAGCGCGACGCUGCCGCCCCCGCUCGCCCUAUUCCCCUGCGUUCCGUGGCGCGGGAGUCACUCUAGGAAUUGUUUUGAGUAUAUAACUAAGAAUUGUAAAUUAGUUUCUUAGUGUCGUGCAACAUUGGAAGGUGUAAACCACUGGAGGAAAAUGGGUCGAUCUAACACUAGAUCACACUCUUCAAGAUCGAAGUCCAGAUCUCAGUCCAGUUCAAGGUCAAGAUCCAGAUCUCACUCUAGAAAAAAAAGAUACAGUUCUAGGUCUCGGUCUAGGACAUACUCACGAUCUCGCAGUAGAGAUCGUGUUUAUAAUAGAGAUUACCGCAGAGAUUACAGAAAUAAUAGAGGAAUGAGGCGCCCAUAUGGCUAUAGAGGAAGAGGUAGAGGAUAUUAUCCAGGAGGUGGAGGUAGAUAUCACCGUGGAGGUUACAGACCUGUCUGGAAUAGAAGACACUCCCGUAGCCCUAGACGGGGCCGUUCACGUUCCAGAAGUCCAAAGAGAAGGUCAGUCUCUUCCCAGAGAUCACGAAGCAGAUCUCGUCGAUCCUACAGAUCUUCCAGAUCUCCCAGAUCAUCUUCAUCUCGUUCUUCAUCACCGUACAGCAAAUCUCCUGUUUCAUCCAAAAGACAUGGGUCAUCAGAAAAGCAAGCAAAGAAAACUGAGGCAACUGCUUUACAAGACAGCCCAUUAAAAAAUAAAUCACAAGAGGAAGAGAAAGGUACAUUUGAACAUGACCCUUCUGAGACUCUAGAUGAAUUCAAUAAAUCAGCAGCAGCUUCAGGUGAUAUUUGGCCUGGCCUUUCAGCAUAUGAUAACAGUCCAAGAUCUCCUCAUAGUCCUUCUAUUGCCUCCCCUCCUAGUCAGAGUUCUUCAUGCUCUGAUGCCCACUUGCUCAGCACAGUUCACUCAGCAAAAGACACACCUCAGCAUUCACAUUCCAUUCAGCACAGCCCUGAAAGGUCUGGUUCUGGUUCCCUUGGAAAUGGUUCCAGCCGGUAUAGCCCUUCCCAGAAUAGUCCACUGCAUCACAUUCCUUCAAGGAGAAGCCCUGCAAAAGCAGUUGCAUCACAGAAUGCUCCUCGUGAGGACACUCGCAUGCGUUCAUUUUAUCCAGAGGCUGGAGAUCAGGAAACUGCAAAGGGUGCAAAAUUUCUGAAAAGGUACACAGAUGAAGAGUCUAGAGUAUACCUGCUUGAUAGAAGUAAUGCUAGGGAGAAAGAUGCUCAGAAGGAAAGAGGGUCAGAGAAGGGGAGGACAGAGGGAGAAAGAGAGUGGGAGGAUCAGGAAGCUUUGGAAUAUUAUAUGGACAAAGAGUCUGGAAAACAAAAAUUUAAUGACUCUGAUGGGGAAGACACAGAGGAGACUGAAGAUUAUAGACAGUUCAGAAAGUCUGUUCUGGCAGAUCAGGGUAAAAACUUUGCUGCAUCUCACCGAAAUGCAGAGGAGGAAGGUGCCAAGUACAAAUCUAAAAUCUCUAUAAAAGCAAAUAGAGAAAAUGAAGGAUUUAGGGAAGAUAAAGGUUACAAACUUAAAGAGACAACUAACUAUGUAGUGGAGAGACCUACUGUACCAAAAGAAAAGCACAAAGAAGAUGAGAAAAUUUCUGAGAGAAUGAUGAAGAAAGAAACCCAGUCACCUGAGCAGGUAAAGUCUGAGAAGCUCAAAGAACUCUUUGAUUAUAGUCCUCCCCUGCACAAGAAUUUGGAUGCAAGAGAGAAAACGACCUUCAGGGAAGAGAGCCCACUUAGGAUCAAAAUGAUAGCCAGUGACUCCCAUCGACCUGAAGUUAAACUUAAAAUGGCACCUGUGCCACUUGAUGAUUCAAACAGACCAGCUUCCUUGACGAAGGACAGGCUGCUUGCUAGUACACUUGUCCAUUCAGUCAAGAAGGAGCAAGAGUUCCGAUCCAUCUUUGACCACAUUAAGCUACCACAGGCCAGCAAAAGCACAUCGGAGUCAUUUAUUCAGCACAUUGUGUCCUUAGUUCAUCAUGUCAAAGAGCAGUAUUUCAAGUCAGCUGGAAUGACCCUAAGUGAGAGGUUCACUGCUUAUCAGAAGGCUACUGAAGAACAUAGCACCCGGCAAAAGAGUCCUGAAAUACACAGGAGGAUUGACAUCUCUCCAAGUGCCCUGAGGAAGCAUACCCGUUUAGCGGGAGAAGAGAGAGCCUUUAAAGAAGACACUCAGAAAGGAGAUAAAAAAUUAAAGUGUGAUGCUGCUGAUCUUCGACAUGACAUCGACCGUCGUAGAAAAGAACGAAGUAAAGAACGAGGAGACUCUAAAGGUUCCAGAGAAUCCAGUGGAUCAAGGAAGCAGGAGAAAAUUCCAAAAGAUUACAAGGAUUAUAAAUCUUAUAAAGAUGACAGUAAACAAAAAAGAGACCAAGACCGUUCUCGAUCUUCCUCAACUUCCUCCCCAUCUUCCUCCUCAUCCAGUUCCCGAGAAGAAAAGGACUGCAAGAAAGAAAGAGAUGAAGAGUUUAAACCACACCAUGAACAGAAAGAAUAUCCAGGCUUUACAGGAGUUGGAAGACCUAGAGGCACAUUUUUUCGAAUUAGGGGCAGAGGAAGAGCCAGAGGCGUGUUUGCUGGAACAAAUACUGGUCCCAGCAACUCAAACACUACUUUUCAAAAGAGACCGAAGGAGGAGGAAUGGGAUCCUGAAUAUACCCCAAAAAGCAAGAAAUACUUCUUGCAUGAUGACAGAGAUGAUGGCGUAGAUUACUGGGCUAAAAGAGGAAGAGGCCGUGGUAUUUUCCAGCGUGGCAGAGGAAGAUUCAACUUCAAAAAAUCAGGUAGCAGUCCAAAGUGGACACAUGACAAAUACCAAGGGGAUGGGCUUGUAGAAGACGAAGAAGAAACAAUGGAAAGUGAAGACAAAGAGAGGCGCAAAGAUGAAAAGGAAUAAUCAAUAUGAAGACCAGUUGCAGCUGAAAAACUAUGCGUCAUCUACACAGCAUUUUUAAUAUGACUUGUCGUCAAAUGAAUAACACGAUGGGAGUUCUCUUCUGAACAGAUCUAGAUCUGACAAGUAGAGCUGUAGCUUAACAGGUGCUACGUUUCUCCGUCCACAUACCCUUACUCCUAAUGGGGAAAUGCCUCAACUGUUUGUGCAACAGCACUAAAAGUAGCUUGACCUUCUGCACACUCUUUUCUUACAAGAAGACUUGUCCUACAUUCCAAACCUUUAGGCGUACGACAAAAAGAGGUAAAUUGUAGUGAAAAGUUACCUUUAACACAAGCAUGUUUCAGUGUGUUGUUUCAGAGUUUACAUGCAUAAUAAACAUAGUCUUAUGUAAAACACUAGAUGCUAUCCAUUUAUAACAUUUAAGCAGCUUGUAUAAUGAGUGUGACAUUAUUACUGCAGGAACAUUAAGGAAGACUCAUUGACAUCUGGUGAGAGUGUCGGCCAGGAUAUUCAUGGCAAUAUUGAUCCAGCUACCAAUUGUAUCAAUCUUUUUCCCAAUUUGUAAAAUAAUAUUUUCUGUGGGUUUUCUUCAGAUAAAUAACUUUACCAAUGGGAUAUCUCCGUGAUGUUUUCCGUUUUCAAUGGAAUAAAGAUAUAAAAAUUCUAAAAA